AAAAUUAAUGGGGAAAAAACGAGAAUAUUAUUAUUCCUCAGAAACCUAUACCAAAGUGUGUAGCAGUGAAGGGACAUUGUCUAUAACUUAUUCUCAAGUAUUUAAAGAACUUAAAUUAUGGAAUAUUAUUGAUAUUAGAAUACUAUAAAUGAUAUAAUUUGAAGAGUCAAAGUGAAACCUAUAAGACUGAACUAUUUUUUCAAGUUUUUCCUGACUUAAAUUGUAAGAGUUAUCACACAGUUGGUGUCUAAUAGACAAUUUUGAUGGUAGUUUAUUUGAUUAAAAUUACAUAUUUUGAAUGUCUCUAUCUAAAGUACCUAUGUUGGUUUUCUUAUGUGGUAUAUCAAAAAAUCUUCACAAGACCCCAUGAAUAGGGCAUUGUGAAAUUGUAGAUCCUUAAAGUUUGGAAAUUCCUUGGAAAAAGAUUUCAUUCUCUUCCUGUUGUUUUUUACAGUAUCUAGAAGACUGUCUGACACAUAAUAUUUACAACAUUUAUUGAAUAAAUGAAUGAAUAUGAAGUAAAAGUUUCAUAUAUGAAUUACAGAGUCAUUCCAAAAUAAUUGGCCAAGAAAAUUGUCAGAAGACUGGUAGUAAUUACAUACACAUUAGAGAAUGUAGAUAUUAGACACAGAGUUUCAUGGCCUGAAGUUGAUUAUUUUGGCAAAAUAUGUGUCCCUUGAUGGAGAAGUAAAACAAAUCUUAUAAAUCCAGUCUUAUGAGUAUAACCAUCUUGAUCAUAACCACCACCUUGCCUGCCAGCUAGCCUUAGUGUAUAUUCCAUAUCCUAUAGAAGAAAGCAAGUUGUUAAGAUGGUCAGCUCAGUGUUUCUUAAAAGAUGCUUGGUGUGUUCAUAGCUUUCGAGAAACUCCAUGUAUAUUCUGGUUGGCUAUGGUCCUUCUUUUUCUAGUUUCUUACUAGUUUCUUUUUUUUCCCCCAUUAAGUUUAUUGGUACAUUUUAGGUACAAAAUACAGUUACAAACAUCACUGGGAUCUUGUACCAUUACAACAUCAAGUCCUUUCCCAAAGCAAAAAGGAAAAUUUUCUAUGGUUGUCCCAUGUGCCCAAGUGUAACUUGCAAGUUCAUGGCAAUGCAGAUUUCUGGGAACCACUGAUGGUGAUGUGUGUAAGAGGCUGGAUAUGAAACGUGGUCCAUCAUCUGUCUUAUUACUUCUAAUGCCUACUUGAAAAACUAGAAAACAAACAACAAAGGAAAGUUACAUUAAAAUUACACUUGAAGUUGAGUGGUCAAUUUAGGAUAGACAUUACAACAAUUUAUAUUAAAAGAGGGAUUCUUUCUUUUUACUGGC
ensembl:lncRNA